rnacentral:rRNA from 1 species
UACGUAGGGACCGAGCGUUGUCCGGAAUUACUGGGCGUAAAGCGUGCGCAGGCGGUUCGUUGUGUCGGUGGUGAAAUCCCCGGGCUUAACCUGGGAAUGGCCAUGGAAACUGGCGAACUGGAGUGCGGCAGAGGGGGGUGGAAUUCCGCGUGUAGCAGUGAAAUGCGUAGAGAUGCGGAGGAACACCGAUGGCGAAGGCAGCCCCCUGGGCUAGCACUGACGCUCAGGCACGAAAGCGUGGGGAGCAAACAGG